GACGAACGCUGGCGGCGUGCCUAAUACAUGCAAGUAGAACGCUGAAGGAGGAGCUUGCUUCUCUGGAUGAGUUGCGAACGGGUGAGUAACGCGUAGGUAACCUGCCUGGUAGCGGGGGAUAACUAUUGGAAACGAUAGCUAAUACCGCAUAAUAGUAGAUGUUGCAUGACAUUUGCUUAAAAGGUGCAAUUGCAUCACUACCAGAUGGACCUGCGUUGUAUUAGCUAGUUGGUGAGGUAACGGCUCACCAAGGCAACGAUACAUAGCCGACCUGAGAGGGUGAUCGGCCACACUGGGACUGAGACACGGCCCAGACUCCUACGGGAGGCAGCAGUAGGGAAUCUUCGGCAAUGGACGGAAGUCUGACCGAGCAACGCCGCGUGAGUGAAGAAGGUUUUCGGAUCGUAAAGCUCUGUUGUAAGAGAAGAACGAGUGUGAGGGUGGAAAGUUCACACUGUGACGGUAUCUUACCAGAAAGGGACGGCUAACUACGUG
rnacentral:rRNA from 1 species